rnacentral:rRNA from 1 species
CUACGUGCCAGCAGCCGCGGUAAUACGUAGGUCCCGAGCGUUGUCCGGAUUUAUUGGGCGUAAAGCGAGCGCAGGCGGUUAGAUAAGUCUGAAGUUAAAGGCUGUGGCUUAACCAUAGUACGCUUUGGAAACUGUUUAACUUGAGUGCAAGAGGGGAGAGUGGAAUUCCAUGUGUAGCGGUGAAAUGCGUAGAUAUAUGGAGGAACACCGGUGGCGAAAGCGGCUCUCUGGCUUGUAACUGACGCUGAGGCUCGAAAGCGUGGGGAGCAAACAGGAUUAGGUACCCUGGUAGUCCACGCCGUAAACGAUGAGUGCUAGGUGUUAGACCCUUUCCGGGGUUUAGUGCCGCAGCUAACGCAUUAAGCACUCCGCCUGGGGAGUACGACCGCAAGGUUGAAACUCAAAGGAAUUGACGGGGGCCCGCACAAGCGGUGGAGCAUGUGGUUUAAUUCGAUGCAACGCGAAGAACCUUACCUACUCUUGACAUCCAUGGAAUCUUGUAGAGAUACGAGAGUGC